rnacentral:rRNA from 1 species
CAGCGCCACGGUAAUACGAAGGGUGCAAGCGUUAAUCGGAAUUACUGGGCGUAAAGCGUGCGUAGGCGGUGAGUUAAGUCUGCUGUGAAAUCCCCGGGCUCAACCUGGGAAUGGCAGUGGAUACUGGCUCGCUAGAGUGUGUCAGAGGAUGGUGGAAUUCCCGGUGUAGCGGUGAAAUGCGUAGAGAUCGGGAGGAACAUCAGUGGCGAAGGCGGCCAUCUGGGACAACACUGACGCUGAGGCACGAAAGCGUGGGGAGCAAACAGGAUUAGAUACCCCCGUAGUCCCUGUCUCUUAUACC